CCGAGUUUACAACUCCCAAACCCCUGUGAACAUACCUAUUCUUGCUUCGGCGGACCACCCUCGCCUGACCGCGGGGGCCCGCCAGAGGACCCAAAACCCAACUUUGUCUUUGUCUUGCAAACGAACUUCUGAGUGGAUUUUAUAAAUCAAAUCA
rnacentral:misc_RNA from 1 species